rnacentral:misc_RNA from 1 species
UGACUUGAAUGAGAAGGUGGUUGCUGAAGAUGUAGAGCAAUUGAAAGAACAGGAAAUGCCUGGUUCUUCAUCUGACGACAAAGUUGAUUUGGGAGACCAAGCAAGCUCUAAGCUUGUGGAACUAGCAGAUGAAAAGCAAGGAGCGGAGACGGAGAAAGGAAGUCUCGUGGCUGAGAAGCAAGCGGAUGGGGACGUAGAAUUGAAUGACAAGGUGGCUACUGCUGAAGAUGGAGAACAGUUAAAAGUUUUGGAAACUGGUUCUCAUGUCGACGACGAAGUUGUUCUGGGUGAUGACGAAAACUCUAAAGUUUUAGAGCCAGCAGAUGGAGGACACGAAGCAGAAAUGAAUAAAG